UACGUAGGGUGCAAGCGUUAAUCGGAUUUACUGGGCGUAAAGCGCGCGUAGGUGGCCAAUUAAGUCAAAUGUGAAAUCCCCGAGCUUAACUUGGGAAUUGCAUUCGAUACUGGUUGGCUAGAGUAUGGGAGAGGAUGGUAGAAUUCCAGGUGUAGCGGUGAAAUGCGUAGAGAUCUGGAGGAAUACCGAUGGCGAAGGCAGCCAUCUGGCCUAAUACUGACACUGAGGUGCGAAAGCGUGGGGAGCAAACAGG
rnacentral:rRNA from 1 species